AGGUAGCAUUCAAAAGAAAAGAUGCCCACCUGAUACAAUCUUCCUAAAGUGAACUUGUCAUUUCCUGCUUGUGGUUUUGUAAGUGAGAUCUGCAAGUCUCAUAUGACAAGACAGCCAU
rfam:Sorghum bicolor cultivar BTx623 chromosome 1, whole genome shotgun sequence.